CCCUGUAUCGAAAGUGACUAUGGUCUGCAUGUAGCCAGGUCAUUGAUAAUACAGGGAGAGUGAUCUGAAAGCCUUUCCCGUGUUUGUUGGGUGCUCUGUCCCUGUCAAACCCUGUAUCUUUCAGACA